UGGGAGAGUUCACAUAAAAAUGAAUAUUUAUGUCCUCUGUUGAAAAUACAGAAGGUCUAUCCAAGUAAGAUCAGCAAUCAGAAAGGCCUAUGUAGAGAGGGGCACAUUCUUGAAAAGGUGCCAUCUUUUACUGUUUCUACAUUACAGUUGACUUCUAUUUCUUAAUAACCCUGGGCCUGGGAGAAGAGGAGUGAGAGAAGACAGGGAGUACUGAGCGUUCCUGGGAUUGAAUUUCCUGUUAUCCCAAUGGGAAGAGGUCUCAGAGUUAGAAUCAAACUUUUAAAAUUGUGAUACUAAAAGAAAAUGAAAUUUCUUGAACACUUGAGUGUGUAGAUUUAUAUCAGGUGUAUAAUGAUCGGUGUAAUGUCAAUGAUUUUCUUGGUUGAGAUUUAAAACAACCCCUCAGUUUCUUCCUAUUUCUCAUUUUCUCAUCCUUUUAAGAAUAGAGAGCAUCAGAUAUAUCCAUAGACACAGUAAAGAAUGAGCAGGGAAUAGACAGGAAAUGGGUGAUCUUCAAUAUAGAACUUCCAAGCAGUAAAUUAAGUUGGGGAAUGUUAUGGGUAGAAAACCAAGGAAAGAAAAAAAUAAGCUUAUAGGCAAAUGAGAUUAACGGACUAUUCCUAUUGCAACAAGAAGUUAAUACAGAACUGACAGCAAGAGCUUUUGUCUUUUCAGAUGUUUGAACACAAGCCUAGGGCUGGAGUGCAUAUAAAAGAUAAAUUUAGAGAAGUCCUCAAACUGAUAAAAUAACAACUUACUUCCCCAAAUAUGCUAAGAGUGUUUGUCUAUGGUUAGUUGAACCAUUAAAAUGGGGAAGGAGGAGUGGCCAGAAUUGUCUCUUCUAAGUUCAGAAAGGCCACAUUUUGCCGUUCUACUCUAAAGCAGCUACAUUUCUCUACAGAGCACAGAACUUGGUCCUGACAGUGGAUUCAUUUAUCGUGAAAUGGCUGGCAACUGCAGCUGCAGACCUUAACCUAUGCUGCAUAUCAAACAAUUUAACUUUUUCUUUUAAUGUCAUGACUAUUCUCAGCUUUUUGUGAGCACCUCCUUCAUCACUAGUGGCAUUUUGUAUUGGUCUUAUAGUGUUAUUCAGGGUUUAUGGUAUCGCAUAAGACAUUAACACUGUGAGACUGCAAGAGAUCACAUUUUGCUGCAAUAUGUAAUUUACUGGAAAGACAGACUGUUCAUGCAGAGAUGAUUAGUGUAAAAUGGUGUUUUAAGCAGACACAACACUGGAGCUCACUGCAAUAGCGAUGGGAACAGGCUAUGAAAUUAUUACAGUAAUACAGUAUGUGCUGAAGUUAAUUUUAUUAUGAUUUAAUGCUACAUCUUUAUAUUUGUUUAUAUUUUUUUAACUGUAAAUAUUUCCAUGUAUAGUCUAUGUUUGUGUGCAUACAUUUUGAUAAAUUUUCACUUUUUGUAACAGAUUUGUGUACAUCUUAUUACAUACAGUAAAUGAUAAAUAGUAUGUACAUAUAUUUUUUGCAUCUGAGACCUGCCUGACUUUUUUUUGUUGCUUUU
rnacentral:lncRNA from 1 species